rnacentral:piRNA from 1 species
UGAGAAAAGAUGUGUGUGUCUCUGGUC